rnacentral:tRNA from 1 species
GCGGAUAUGGUCAAAUGGUAAAW